AUGCACGCUGGCGGCGUGCCUCAUCCAUGCCAGUCGCGCGAACAGACGAGGAGCUUGCUCCUCUGACGUUAGCGGCGGACGGGUGAGUAACACGUGGAUAACCUACCUAUAAGACUGGGAUAACUUCGGGAAACCGGAGCUAAUACCGGAUAAUAUAUUGAACCGCAUGGUUCAAUAGUGAAAGACGGUUUUGCUGUCACUUAUAGAUGGAUCCGCGCCGCAUUAGCUAGUUGGUAAGGUAACGGCUUACCAAGGCAACGAUGCGUAGCCGACCUGAGAGGGUGAUCGGCCACACUGGAACUGAGACACGGUCCAGACUCCUACGGGAGGCAGCAGUAGGGAAUCUUCCGCAAUGGGCGAAAGCCUGACGGAGCAACGCCGCGUGAGUGAUGAAGGUCUUUGGAUCGUAAAACUCUGUUAUUAGGGAAGAACAAAUGUGUAAGUAACUAUGCACGUCUUGACGGUACCUAAUCAGAAAGCCACGGCUAACUACGUG
rnacentral:rRNA from 1 species